UACGUAGGGUGCAAGCGUUAUCCGGAAUUAUUGGGCGUAAAGAGCUCGUAGGCGGUCUGUCGCGUCUGCUGUGAAAACCGGAGGCUCAACCUCCGGCCUGCAGUGGGUACGGGCAGACUAGAGUGCGGUAGGGGAGAUUGGAAUUCCUGGUGUAGCGGUGGAAUGCGCAGAUAUCAGGAGGAACACCGAUGGCGAAGGGCAGAUCUCUGGGCCGUAACUGACGCUGAGGAGCGAAAGCAUGGGGAGCGAACAGG
rnacentral:rRNA from 1 species